AUUGAACGCUGGCGGAAUGCUUUACACAUGCAAGUCGAGCGGCAGCGCGGGGCAACCUGGCGGCGAGCGGCGAACGGGUGAGUAACACAUCGGAACGUGCCCAGACGUGGGGGAUAGCCCGGCGAAAGCCGGAUUAAUACCGCAUACGAUCUAAGGAUGAAAGCGGGGGACUCGCAAGGGCCUCGCGCGUUUGGAGCGGCCGAUGGCAGAUUAGGUAGUUGGUGGGGUAAAGGCUUACCAAGCCUGCGAUCUGUAGCUGGUCUGAGAGGAUGAUCAGCCACACUGGGACUGAGACACGGCCCAGACUCCUACGGGAGGCAGCAGUGGGGAAUUUUGGACAAUGGGCGCAAGCCUGAUCCAGCCAUUCCGCGUGCAGGACGAAGGCCUCGGUU
rnacentral:rRNA from 1 species